GAUGAACGCUGGCGGCGUGCCUAAUACAUGCAAGUCGAGCGAACGGACGAGAAGCUUGCUUUUCGGACGUUAGCGGCGGACGGGUGAGUAACACGUGGAUAACCUACCUAUCAGACUGGGAUAACUUCGGGAAACCGGAGCUAAUACCGGAGAAUAUUUUGAACCGCAUGGUUCAAAAGUGAGAGACGGUCUUGCUGUCACUUAUAGAUGGAUCCGCGCUGCAUUGGCUAGUUGGUAAGGUAACGGCUUACCACGGCAACGAUGCGUAGCCGAGCUGAGAGGGGGGUCGGCCACACUGGAACGGAGACGCGGACCAGACUCCUACGGGAGGCAGCAGUAGGGAAUGGUCCGCAAUAGGCGAAAGCCUUACGGAGCAACGCCGCGUGAGUGAUGAAGGUCUUCGGAGCGUAAAACCCGGUUAUUAGGGAAGAACAUAUGUGUAAGUAACUGUGCACAGCUUGACGGUACCUAAUCAGAAAGCCACGGCUAACUACGUG
rnacentral:rRNA from 1 species